rnacentral:sRNA from 1 species
UAUAUCUUAUUGAUAGCGGCUGGUGUA